AUUGAACGCUGGCGGCAGGCCUAACACAUGCAAGUCGAGCGAGCGGCGGACGGGUGAGGAAUGUAUGGGGACUGCCCGAUAGAGGGGGAUAACUACUGGAAAAGGUGGCUAAUACCGCAUACUAUCGGAUAACCCAUAUGGGAUUAGCUAGUAGGUGGGGUAAAGGCUCACCUAGGCGACGCUCUCUAGCUGGUGUGAGAGGAGGAUCAGCAACACGUGGAAGGAGACACGGCCCAGACUCCUACGGGGGCAGCAGUGGGGAAUAUUGCACAAUGGGCGCAAGCCUGAUGCAGCCAUGCCGCGUGUAUGAAGAAGGCCUUAGGGUUGUAAAGUACUUUCAGCGGGGAGGCGUUACCCGCAUAAGAAGCACCGGCUAACUCCGUGCCAGCAGCCGCGGUAAUUC
rnacentral:rRNA from 1 species